rnacentral:rRNA from 1 species
GCCACGGGCCACGCCCCCCUGGACGCCCCCCGAUCCCCGCUGAUCUCGGCAGCUAAGCAGGGUCAGGCCUGGGUAGUACUUGGAUGGGAGAGUGCCUAGGAAGACCAGGUGCUGUAAGCG